rnacentral:tRNA from 1 species
GGAGGGAUGCCGGAGCGGCCGAACGGGACCGCCUUGAAAGCGGUUGAGGCGCGAGCCUCCGUGGGUUCGAAUCCCACUCCCUCCGCAA